UACGUAGGGGCAAGCGUUGUCCGGAUUUAUUGGGCGUAAAGAGCGUGUAGGCGGUCAGGUAGGUCCGUUGUGAAACUCGAGGCUCAACCUCGAGACGCCGAUGGAAACCAUCUGACUAGAGUCCGGAAGAGGAGAGUGGAAUUCCUGGGUGUAGCGGUGAAAUGCGCAGAUAUCAGGAAGAACACCCGGUGGCUAAGGCGGCUCUCUAGUACGGUACUGACGCUGAGACGCGAAGCGUGGGAGCGAACAG
rnacentral:rRNA from 1 species